CUGUGUACGUGACCCCGUGACGCACAGGAAACUAAAGUUUCCUUCGUUGUUAUUGUAAAAUUGUCCUCAUUGUAUUCCUGACUCAUCAGGCUCAUCCUCUACAUCAGUGCAUUAACCUACAAGCUACAAUGUCUAGCUGAAGAGACACUUUGUGAUAUCUAAUGACAAAAUGAUUAAACAGCGACUGCUGACAUCUACAUUGUGCUCUACUGAUGGUCAACAAUGUUUCAGCACACUACAGCAGCAUCAGUACACUCCGACUUUUCCCCUGGAGGAUGUAAACCACAAUUUGUA